UACGGAGGGAGCAAGCGUUAAUCGGAAUUACUGGGCGUAAAGCGCACGCAGGCGGUUGGAUAAGUUAGAUGUGAAAGCCCCGGGCUCAACCUGGGAAUUGCAUUUAAAACUGUCCAGCUAGAGUCUUAUAGAGGGGGGUAGAAUUCCAGGUGUAGCGGUGAAAUGCGUAGAGAUCUGGAGGAAUACCGGUGGCGAAGGCGGCCCCCUGGACAAAGACUGACGCUCAGGUGCGAAAGCGUGGGGAGCAAACAGA
rnacentral:rRNA from 1 species